rnacentral:rRNA from 1 species
GAUGAACGCUGGCGGCGUGCCUAAUACAUGCAAGUCGAGCGAACGGACGAGAAGUUUGCUUCUCUGAUGUUAGCGGCGGACGGGUGAGUAACACGUGGAUAACCUACCUAUAAGACUGGGAUAACUUUGGGAAACCGGAGCUAAUACCGGAUAAUAUUUUGAACCGCAUGGUUCAAAAGUGAAAGACGGUCUUGCUGUCACUUAUAGAUGGAUCCGCGCUGCAUUAGCUAGUUGGUAAGGUAACGGCUUACCAAGGCAACGAUGCAUAGCCGACCUGAGAGGGUGAUCGGCCACACUGGAGCUGAGACACGGUCCAGACUCCUACGGGGGGCAGCAGUAGGGAAUCUUCCGCAAUGGGCGAAAGCCUGACAGAGCAACGCCGCGUGAGUGAUGAAGGUCUUCGGAUCGUAAAGCUCUGUUAUUAGGGAAGAACAAAUGUGUAAGUAACUGUGCACAUCUUGACGGUACCUAAUCAGAAAGCCACGGCUAACUACGUG